GGAAUGGCCUAAACACCCUAUUCAUUAAGUCCAUAAAGACCACUAGUGCAUUAGUGAGUUCAUAAGACAUAACUAAUAACUCAUAAUGACCAUACUUAGUCCUGAAAGCUGUUUUUUUGCUAUCUUUACUCUUGAUCCUCAAUUGAUGAUAGCACGAUUGUAGGUCUAUUUUUGAGAAAAAUCUAGCCCCUCGCAGCUGAUCAAACAGGUCAUCAAUCCGAGGAAGUGGAUGUUUAUUCUUAACAGUCACUUUAUUCAGCUAUCUAUAAUCAAUACACAACCUCAAAGAUCCAUCCUUCUUCCUUACAAAUAGAAUAGGAGCACCUCAAGGUGAAGUACUUGAUCGGAUGAAACCCUUGUCCAGAAACUCUUGCAGUUGUUGCUCCUUCAGUUCCUUUAAC
rnacentral:misc_RNA from 1 species